AAAUUGUGUAAAAGAAAAUGGAAAGGUUUAGAUGUUGCCAUUCUCACGAUUUUGCGAUUGAGAAAGAAAGGUAUAAGGAGGAAGGCUUGGAAACUCAAACAUCAGAAGAUCAGAAAAAUGUUGAGGAAUCGAUAUCACACUAUUUCAAGUAUUUUGCUGUCAGAAGCCAUGCAGAAAAAGAGUCAUUUGAUUUGCCAUCUCUCAAGAGAGAUCAACACCUUCUCUUCCUGAAGAAAGGGUUACAGCACCUGUCCAAUUCUUAUGAGUGCCUGGACGCCAGUCGAAGCUGGUUAUGUUACUGGAUUCUUCACAGUUUGGAGUUACUGGACGAACAUGUCUCCAACGAUGAAAUCACACUAAUCUCUCAGUUUCUGAAAAGAUGCCAGUGUUCCAGUGGAGGUUUUGGAGGUGGCCCCGGGCAGUAUGCUCAUUUAGCCACAACCUACGCCGCAGUGAACGCUUUGUGUAUUCUGGGAACAGAGGACGCAUUCAAAGUCAUCAACAGGGAGAAACUUUACUCAUUUCUGAUGAGAAUGAAAAAUGGAGAUGGGUCUUUUAGAAUGCAUGAAGGGGGAGAGGUUGAUGUAAGGGGAGCUUACUGUGCUGCAAGUGUAGCCAGACUGACCAACAUCGUCACCCCCGAGCUGUUUGACUGCACCCCAGAGUGGAUCACAAGCUGUCAGACCUAUGAGGGAGGAUUUGGGGGAUACCCAGGACUGGAGGCCCAUGGAGGGUAUUCCUUCUGUGGACUAGCUGCACUAGUCAUUCUAGGACACGGGAAGCUGUGUAAUGUGGAGAAAUUACUAAGAUGGACAGUUAACCGCCAAAUGCGGUAUGAAGGCGGAUUUCAGGGGCGUACCAAUAAACUAGUGGAUGGUUGUUAUUCAUUCUGGCAGGGUGGAGCCCUUCCUCUUAUCCAUAUGGUACUUGCUCAGGAACACAAUGACAACCUUAGCUCGGAAAAGUGGAUGUUUGACCAGGAUGCCUUACAGGAAUACCUCUUGUUAUGUUGUCAGUAUGCAGGGGGAGGACUUAUAGACAAGCCAGGAAAGUAAGGAGACCAGAUCAUGCCACAAAGGCUCGGGACUACUAUCACACCUGUUACUGUCUGAGUGGGCUGGCUAUUGCCCAGCACUUCGCAGGCGGAAAAAUUGCCCACCUGAAUGUAUUAGGAGAUCCUAGGAAUGAAUUGAAACCAACCCAUCCAGUGUUCAACAUAGGAAUAGAAGCCGCAACGCAUGCUACCCUCUACUUUGAAAAAUUGCCUGUACCAUCCUCACCUUAAAUCAUCAUUGUCUGUAUCAUUUUUGUUUUAUUUAAAGAGGCCCAACUUUUUUUAUAUCCAUUCCACCAUGUUUAGAACUGAAUGUUGCAAUCAUUAAAUUUUACCAGAUAAAGUCUCCUUGCUCCGUGGCAUUAUGAACAAGUACAUGUAUUUUUUAGCAUAAUAAGUGCCAUAAAACUUGUGCUAUUGUUGUGAACUGUGACAUUUUCUGUUGUCAUUGAUGAAUAAAAUUGAAAACC
rnacentral:misc_RNA from 1 species